rnacentral:rRNA from 1 species
AGGGCACCACCAGGAGUGGAGCCUGCGGCUUAAUUUGACUCAACACGGGGAAGCUCACCCGGCCCGGACACUGUAAGGAUGGACAGAUUAAAAGCUCUUUCUUGAUUCAGUGGGUGGUGGUGCAUGGCCGUUCUUAGUUGGUGGAGUGAUUUGUCUGGUUAAUUCCGAUAACGAACGAGACUCUGACCUGCUAAAUAGUACGUUGGUAUUGGCACUCAGCAAUGGGUGUUCUCGCUGACGCUGACUUCUUAGAGGGAUUCGCAGUAUUCAAACUGCACGAAAUAGAGCAAUAACAGGUCUGUGAUGCCCUUAGAUGUCCGGGGCCGCACGCGCGCUACAAUGACAGCUUCAGAGAGUUUUGCAACCUGGUCCGAAAGGAUUGGGAAAUCUUGGCAUAGCUAUCUCCUCAGGGAUUGGGGUUUGUAACUGUCCCCCAUGAACGAGGAAUUCCCAGUAGGCGCAAGUCAUCAGCUUGCGCCGAUUACGUCCCUGCCCUUUGUACACACCGCCCGUCGCUAC